rnacentral:rRNA from 1 species
GAUAAACGCUGGCGGCGUGCCUAAUACAUGCAAGUCGAGCGAACGGACGAGAAGCUUGCUUCUCUGAUGUUAGCGGCGGACGGGUGAGUAACACGUGGAUAACCUACCUAUAAGACUGGGAUAACUUCGGGAAACCGGAGCUAAUACCGGAUAAUAUUUUGAACCGCAUGGUUCAAAAGUGAAAGACGGUCUUGCUGUCACUUAUAGAUGGAUCCGCGCUGCAUUAGCUAGUUGGUAAGGUAACGGCUUACCAAGGCAACGAUGCAUAGCCGACCUGAGAGGGUGAUCGGCCACACUGGAACUGAGACACGGUCCAGACUCCUACGGGAGGCAGCAGUAGGGAAUCUUCCGCAAUGGGCGAAAGCCUGACGGAGCAACGCCGCGUGAGUGAUGAAGGUCUUCGGAUCGUAAAACUCUGUUAUUAGGGAAGAACAUAUGUGUAAGUAACUGUGCACAUCUUGACGGUACCUAAUCAGAAAGCCACGGCUAACUACGUGCCAGCAGCCGCGGUAAUACGUAGGUGGCAAGCGUUAUCCGGAAUUAUUGGGCGUAAAGCGCGCGUAGGCGGUUUUUUAAGUCUGAUGUGAAAGCCCACGGCUCAACCGUGGAGGGUCAUUGGAAACUGGAAAACUUGAGUGCAGAAGAGGAAAGUGGAAUUCCAUGUGUAGCGGUGAAAUGCGCAGAGAUAUGGAGGAACACCAGUGGCGAAGGCGACUUUCUGGUCUGUAACUGACGCUGAUGUGCGAAAGCGUGGGGAUCAAACAGGAUUAGAUGCCCUGGUAGUCCACGCCGUAAACGAUGAGUGCUAAGUGUUAGGGGGUUUCCGCCCCUUAGUGCUGCAGCUAACGCAUUAAGCACUCCGCCUGGGGAGUACGACCGCAAGGUUGAAACUCAAAGGAAUUGACGGGGACCCGCACAAGCGGUGGAGCAUGUGGUUUAAUUCGAAGCAACGCGAAGAACCUUACCAAAUCUUGACAUCCUUUGACAACUCUAGAGAUAGAGCCUUCCCCUUCGGGGGACAAAGUGACAGGUGGUGCAUGGUUGUCGUCAGCUCGUGUCGUGAGAUGUUGGGUUAAGUCCCGCAACGAGCGCAACCCUUAAGCUUAGUUGCCAUCAUUAAGUUGGGCACUCUAAGUUGACUGCCGGUGACAAACCGGAGGAAGGUGGGGAUGACGUCAAAUCAUCAUGCCCCUUAUGAUUUGGGCUACACACGUGCUACAAUGGACAAUACAAAGGGCAGCGAAACCGCGAGGUCAAGCAAAUCCCAUAAAGUUGUUCUCAGUUCGGAUUGUAGUCUGCAACUCGACUACAUGAAGCUGGAAUCGCUAGUAAUCGUAGAUCAGCAUGCUACGGUGAAUACGUUCCCGGGUCU